AGCUUGCGGUUUAAUUGGAUUCAACGCCGGAAAUCUUACCGGGACCGACAGCAAUAUGAAGGCCAGGCUGAAGACUUUGCCGGAUUAGCUGAGAGGUGGUGCAUGGCCGUCGUCAGUUCGUACUGUGAAGCAUCCUGUUAAGUCAGGCAACGAGCGAGACCCACGCCCACAGUUGCCAGCGUACUCUCUGGAGUGACGGGUACACUGUGGGGACCGCCGCUGCUAAAGCGGAGGAAGGAAUGGGCAACGGUAGGUCAGUAUGCCCCGAAUAUCCCGGGCUACACGCGAGCUACAAUGGUUGGUACAAUGGGUAUCUACCCCGAAAGGGGACGGGAAUCUCCUAAAACCAAUCUUAGUUCGGAUUGAGGGCUGCAACUCGCCCUCAUGAAGCUGGAAUCCGUAGUAAUCGCGUUUCAACAGAACGCGGUGAAUACGUCCCUGCUCCUU
rnacentral:rRNA from 1 species